UUGGUCUCCAACCCAGUCCUCAUGGACCACCAACAGUCCAGAAUUUAUAUAUUUUCCUGUUUUAUUCCAAUGGAGAUUCUGACAAAACCUGGACUGUUGGUGGUCUAUGAGGACUCGGUUGGAGACCG
rnacentral:miRNA from 1 species